rnacentral:rRNA from 1 species
UUANCCAUAGUACGCUUUGGAAACUGUUUAACUUGAGUGCAGAAGGGGAGAGUGGAAUUCCAUGUGUAGCGGUGAAAUGCGUAGAUAUAUGGAGGAACACCGGUGGCGAAAGCGGCUCUCUGGUCUGUAACUGACGCUGAGGCUNGAAAGCGUGGGGAGCGAACAGGAUUAGAUACCCUGGUAGUNCACGCCGUAAACGAUGAGUGCUAGGUGUUAGGCCCUUUCCGGAGCUUAGUGCCGCAGCUAACGCAUUAAGCACUCCGCCUGGGGAGUACGACCGCAAGGUUGAAACUCAAAGGAAUUGACGGGGGCCCGCACAAGCGGUGGAGCAUGUGGUUUAAUUCGAAGCAACGCGAAGAACCUUACCAGGUCUUGACAUCCCGAUGCCCGCUCUAGAGAUAGAGUUUUACUUCGGUACAUCGGUGACAGGUGGUGCAUGGUUGUCGUCAGCUCGUGUCGUGAGAUGUUGGGUUAAGUCCCGCAACGAGCGCAACCCUUAUUGUUAGUUGCCAUCAUUCAGUUGGGCACUCUAGCGAGACUGCCGGUAAUAAACCGGAGGAAGGUGGGGAUGACGUCAAAUCAUCAUGCCCCUUAUGACCUGGGCUACACACGUGCUACAAUGGCUGGUACAACGAGUCGCAAGUCGGUGACGGCAAGCUAAUCUCUUAAAGCCAGUCUCAGUUCGGAUUGUAGGCUGCAACUCGCCUACAUGAAGUCGGAAUCGCUAGUAAUCGCGGAUCAGCACGCCGCGGUGAAUACGUUCCCGGGCCUUGUACACACCGCCCGUCACACCACGAGAGUUUGUAACACCCGAAGUC